UAGCCCUUAGAUUUGUCUGCUAACAGUAAAAAUCCUAUAAUAAAUCGGUAACAUAUGUUGCCAGACAAGGAUAAGUGAUAUAAAUAAAAAGCCUAGGAGACCUAACCCAAGUACAAUGUGAAAAGAAUUUUACUUGCAAUCUAUUUGUUGACUAAUUACCAUUUGAAAAGUCAUUUGAAAGUGUUAACUGUUACUUGUUUAUAUUCUUCCUCAUUUUUCUCUUCUUCUCUUCAGAUUGCAUUUUAACCAAAAUAUUCUUCGUGAUUGCCUGCUUUGCGGCUUUGGGGAUACUCAGGAUGACCAUCUUCCAAAGGGCAUGUAAUUGUAUCACCUGCCUGGACCAGGUCCCCUCAGCUAAGUACUGGGUCCCAAAUAGAGAAGGAAAGAAAUUUUUAUGCAUUAAAAAAAAAACAAAACAAUAAAGGAUAUUGACCAGUAUACAA